CCAACCUUCCUCCUCUUCCAAAUCCUUCCCAGCAUUUGGAUUAACUUCAUCGUCCUUCUCUUCCGGCUUGAUCCCAUGGAAUCCCCCAACGUCUCAGCCAUUUUCCCAAGCUUAUCCUCAAAUCCUCUUCCCCUGUUUCGGAACCACCUCUUCCCAGCUGAAUCAAAUUCAAAACUUCAAAUCUCCUCAUCCCAAACCGACCAACCUUCAUCCCAACGGCAUCAUCACCUUCCUCUUGUUCUGGACUCCUUCCGUUCACAAACAAAAUCCCAGCAUCCCAUGUUCCCAAUUGGAUGAACAUCCCAAACGAUUGCCUCCCACGAUUCUCUACUCCGGAUCAAUCCAGCCUUCCUCUUGAUCCGGAUUAACUCCAUCAUCCACGGGAGGAACAGAGUUAUCCUCUCAUCCUCUCAGAUCACGCGUCCACAACUCCCUCCCGUUCGUGAUCAACUUCUCAGCAUCCGUGGAUAAACUUCCAAGGUCAGAUCCUAGAUUCCACAGCAUCCCAACAUCCGGAUCAAUCCUACAAAUCUUCCAUCCUCCGCGGAUACGAUCUUCCUCCCAGCCGUUC
rnacentral:lncRNA from 1 species